GGAAAAGAAACUAACAAGGAUUCCCCUAGUAACGGCGAGUGAAGAGGGAAAAGCCCAGCACCGAAGCCUGCGGCAGUUUUGCUGUUAGGCAAUGUGGUGUUUAGGUCGGCUCGCGGGACUGCUGCUCCAUUCUAAGUCCAGCUUUGAGUAUGGCUUCUGGACUUGGCCCACAGAGGGUGAAAGGCCCGUUCGAAUGGAGGAUAAGAGAAGUGAGUAGUCCACUAUGCCGGCCUUCGAGUCGGGUUGUUUGAGAAUGCAGCCCAAAGAGGGUGGUAGACUCCAUCCAAGGCUAAAUACUAGCACGAGUCCGAUAGCGAACAAGUACCGUGAGGGAAAGUUGAAAAGUACUUUGAAGAGAGAGUAAACAGUACGUGAAACCGCAUAGAGGUAAACGGGUGGCGUCAAGCUGCACGCUUAGAGGAUUCAGUCGGUCAGGAUGUUGUGUAUGCGCCUGGCGCAUCUAUCAGUCGGAGUGAGAUAAAGUAGUCCGUUGGGUAACAGCGGGCCCGGCCGAAAGGCUGGGAUUUGUAUUCCGUGUUAUGUGCGGAGCUUGCUACUUGUCUAUGGACUGCCUGGCCGAUGCAUUUUCUCUGUGGCGAACACCACGACCGGUGGUACUGCCAGUCUGCUGUGGUAAAGUCGGGUUCAGUCGGCCUUGUGUUGGUUGAGCUUGAUCAUAGGCAAGCGGUGUGCGGGUGCGAACGUACUUGUACACCGCUUUGUCAACGGGUCUGUUUGCUGACGAUUGUAGUAGUUGGCGAAUGGCCUGGUGGACCAUGGUGGUAAGAAUAACUGUGCAGGGCACCGGUGAUUUCGGUCUCUAAUUUGGCUCGCUCACACACUACAAGUGGGUGUGGGUCGUCGUUGCAGUCUGCCUGUGAUUGGGUUUGAUUGUCGUGUUGCCUGCGCAAAGUAGGUCCGGCAGUAGCCUGAUUUUGGAUGGUAUUGCUAGCGGCGUCUCUUCUGCGGGCUGAUGAGGGCCUAAUAGU
rnacentral:rRNA from 1 species